rnacentral:tRNA from 1 species
GGGGCUGUAGCUCAGUGGCAGAGAACUUGCUUAGUAUGCAUGAGGCACUGGGUUCAAUCCUCAGCACCA